UCCUGCCGGACCUGACUGCUAUCGGAUUGAUACUAAGCCAUGCGAGUCUUUGUAGUAAUACAAGGCAUACGGCUCAGUAACACGUAGUCAACCUACCCUAUGGACAAGAAUAAUCUCGGGAAACUGGGCAUAAUUCUUGAUAGAUCAUAAUGCCUGGAAUGGUUUAUGGUUAAAAUGAUUCGUCGCCAUAGGAUGGGACUGCGGCCUAUCAGCUUGUUGGUGAGGUAAUGGCCCACCAAGGCGAUUACAGGUACGGGCUCUGAGAGGAGAAGCCCGGAGAUGGGUACUGAGACACGGACCCAGGCCCUAUGGGGCGCAGCAGGCGAGAAAACUUUGCAAUGUGCGAAAGCACGACAAGGUUAAUCCGAGUGAUUUCUGCUAAAGAAAUCUUUUGCCAGUCAUAAAACCACUGGUGAAUAAGGGGUGGGCAAGUUCUGGUGUCAGCCGCCGCGGUAAAACCAGCACCUCAAGUGGUCAGGAUGAUUAUUGGGCCUAAAGCAUCCGUAGCCGGCUUUGUUAGUUUUCGGUUAAAUCCAUGUGCUCAACGCAUGGGCUGCCGAAAAUACUGCAUAGCUAGGGAGUGGGAGAGGUAGACGGUACCCAGUAGGAAGGGGUAAAAUCCUUUGAUCUAUUGAUGACCACCUGUGGCGAAGGCGGUCUACCAGAACACGUUCGACGGUGAGGGAUGAAAGCUGGGGGAGCAAACCGGAUUAGAUACCCGGGUAGUCCCAGCUGUAAACGAUGCAGACUCGAUGAUGCAUUGGCAUAAUAGCCAGUGCAGUGUCGCAGGGAAGCCGUUAAGUCUGCCGCCUGGGAAGUACGUACGCAAGUAUGAAACUUAAAGGAAUUGGCGGGGGAGCACCACAAGGGGUGAAGCCUGCGGUUCAAU
rnacentral:rRNA from 1 species